GUUUUUCAACAUUUUCCCACUGCUUGAUUAAAACUGAAUUUUAAGGACACCGCAGAGAGAGAUCUCUCUGUGUGGCUCGUUAAAAGUUGGUGUCCCUCUGAUCCCCUUCAGAACUGAUCACAUCUGGGUUCUGGAUGCUGCUUGUUCCUGCUGCUGAGGUCCAACACGUCCAGCUGGGUUCAACAGCCAGCGUGGGCUGUAACCUCUCCUAUCUUUAUGACACAACGUGGCUUAAGCAUCACCCAGAUAAACCUCCCACCAUGAUCUUCUCUGCCAGCCUCAAAGAGGGACGACCCAUCCAAGGGUUUCAGCUCAACAGUCGUUAUACAGUGAAUUUGGUGAACCGCUCUCUGGCACUGAUGAUCUCCAGUAUCGAGGACAGAGACCUGGGGCUGUACUACUGUAUUUCCUACGUAAACUCAGACUUAAAAAUUGGGGAAGGAACCAAGCUUCAGGUUUCAGGUUUAUCUCGGUUUCUUUUUAAUCACUGGUACUGCAUGAUCACGGGUUUCAUCCUCAUGAUUAUGGUACUGGCUGUUUGUGUCACCCACUGGAAAGCUCGGGCGAAGGAGAAGAAGAAGAAGACCGCCAUCCGGACCAGAUCCUGACAUCACCCGUAAAUAUAUGACAAAUAGUAGUAAUACUUCAACUCCGACACCAACUACACUUUCACAGCUGAUAGUUUAUGCCCACUAUUACAUGGAUUCAAUGUAUUAAUGUUGCAUUUGUAUAUAUACAACCUGUGUGUGUAUGUCUGGGUUUUUAUUUUGUGUAUAAAGUGUAGAUUCUUUGUUUUUCUUCCACUUCUUAUUUAUGGCAUUCUUAUGUUGGGUUGCUAAAUGCAC
ensembl:lncRNA